UGUUAUUUCCACAUGUAACCUUGGACCACAAAACCAAAAGUCCAAUGAGUAAAACGCUGAACGAAAAUGAAAAUGGGGUGAUUGAUAGUAAAAGUAAAAAUUGCGAGCAUAUGUAUAUGAACCAAAACGAAUUGGACAGACGUGUAUAGUGAGACCGAGAUAUAGGGGAAAAAAGAGAAAAGUUAUGAUGGUAAGGGUAGAUGCAGUGAGACAAGAGCUGACGCGCGGUACAUAAUUGAGAAUCGUUAACGCGUCCUCGAGGGAGAUCGAGCGGCUGGAUUUUGCUAGGUCCUCUCUUACUCUCCGCCGCCGUUACCAUCAGCUUGCCUGCCUCUUCUCGUCGCGGCUUCCUAGCCACGGUGUUGGUGACCUUCAACCGAUCAAGAGUGGAUGGACCUCGUUGGCCAGCGGGCCGAGGUAUAAGGUCAAGGUUGCUGUCGUCGGUGUGCACGGGAUAUGCGACCUCCAGGAUAUGCAUCGAGCGAGAUGCGCGCGCAAUCAGCGCAUGCGCGCCGCCAGCCGGCUUGUCGUGCGUCGCAGCGUGUCGCGCAAGUCAUUGCCAAGGUCUUUGCUGGUCACGGGCAAACCGUUAUAAGUAGCGAUGGACACGAACCGAAAUGCAACUUUUAGACUAUAUAAUUAUUAUAUAUAUCAUUAAAUACUUUUAGAAUAUUGGUUUGAAUUCGAUGAUUGGACAAAUUAUGAAUCUGUAUUGUACAUAACUUGAAUUUGGUACAAGAUCACGAGGAUUUCGAUCCCAUCGCUAGUCGUAUGUAGCCGGUUGAGACUGAUGCAAAGCCGCCGAUGAUUUUUCCAGGGAAAAAGUAAUCAUGAAAGAAAUAAACGCGCGCGUCGCGACGCCUGCGUCACUACACCCGGCGUACAUCCAUGGCCAAGGUUCUCCCCGGUCACGGGCAACCCGUUAUACGUAGCUGGGAGCCAACACUUGCCCGAGGUCGUCCAUGACUGUCUUAUUCGCCCCAAGGCUUGGAAAAAGUUGAUCUUAGGAAGAUCUACCUAAUACGCUAUGAUAAUAUACAACGUAGAGAUGAAUGUUAUUUUCAUGCAUACAAAUGAUUUUACCUUGAAUUAAAACAUUCAAAAGAAGAACUUUGUACGUUAAAGGUAAACAAGAGUUCAAUUAUGAUUGAACGAAUACAAUAUUUAAUUUGCUUAUAGGUUAUGUAAAUCAUCUAAAUUUGGUUGAAUAUGAAAAAUGGUUUUGUAAAUGUUUAGAAUGUAGCGCUCUUAUAUCGAAUCAUUUUAGCCGCUUAAGUAGUUCUUUGUACGAAAUCACUAGGUUCCAACUCGAUUAGUGUUGAUUAGCGUUAUUAAUGGGAUCUUACACGUUGUGCACGUUGAAAGUUGAGUCGAGGACGGAUUACUGUUUAAGGACGAAAGAUUCCCUAAUAAAAGGUGGCUUUAUUUGACCCAUAUCCUCAAUAGAUAAUUAAUUUGUCUUAUACAUUAACAAGAAUAAGCGAACUUCUAUGUUCAAGAGUACAAGUUGCGUAUGAACAACUCUAAUUAGUGAAAUAAAUUCUGCAUUUAACUUCAGAACAAGAAAUGCUACAUAAACUUCUUCAGUACUAAAAGAAGUUUACAUUCUUGACACAAUUUCAGUAGGUGAUAUUUCUAUUCUAUUACCAGCCAAUUAGAUCAUGAUCAAUUUUUAAUUUAACUUUGAGUAACUUCAAACGUGUUCUUAUUAAAUGAUAAAUAUUCUUCCACAUAUGUUAAUAAAAUCAGAAAUCUAUUAAUAUUUUCUCUGUGUUUAGAGUUAAAGAUGAAAUUCAUAUAUAUA